CCAGCCCGCUCAGGUGUGCCAGCAGCCGCGGUAAUACAGAGGUCUCAAGCGUUGUUCGGAAUCACUGGGCGUAAAGCGUGCGUAGGCGGUUUCGUAAGUCGUGUGUGAAAGGCGGGGGCUCAACCCCCGGACUGCACAUGAUACUGCGAGACUAGAGUAAUGGAGGGGGAACCGGAAUUCUCGGUGUAGCAGUGAAAUGCGUAGAUAUCGAGAGGAACACUCGUGGCGAAGGCGGGUUCCUGGACAUUAACUGACGCUGAGGCACGAAGGCCAGGGAGCGAAAGGG
rnacentral:rRNA from 1 species